rnacentral:misc_RNA from 1 species
GUCCAGUACAUGGAUUGUCUUGAGAAAACGACUCAAUAAUUUAACCAAAAUUCCCAAACUUCUGCAAAUAUGAAUUUUUACAAAUCUACAGAACCUGGUUCUUACAGAAAGAAAUUUAAUUCCAAAAUAUAAAUCGGUAUCGAAUCACCUAAAAUGCAUUUCUUUAUGCACAAUACCAUAACUUCUACCCUCAGCUUCUAAG